UGAAUAUUGAUCCUGUCCUGUCCUAUGGUCUGAAUAUUGAUCCUGUCCUGUCCUAUCGUCUGAAUAUUGAUCCUGUCCUGUCCUAUGGUCUGAAUAUUGAUCCUGUCCUGUCGUAUGGUCUGAAUAUUGAUCUCGUCCUGUCCUAUGGUCUGAAUAUUGAUCUCGUCAUGUCCUAUGGUCUGAAUAUUGAUGUGUGUGUCUCUGACCAUCUCAGUAUUGUUUUUUUAAAGGCUUUCUCCUCCUCCUAAAAAUGUGUCUGUCCCCACUCACUCUGGCAUCAUUAACUCGACAACUGCUAGCACAUUAACCAAAGCUUCAAGUUUUAUUAUGGUGGUUCCAAGUUCUAUUAUGGUGGUUCCAAGUUCUAUUUAGGUGGUUCCAAGUUCUAUUGUGAUGGUUCCAAGUACUAUUGUGGGGGUUCCAAGUUCUUUGGUGGGGGUUCCAAGUUCUUUUGUGAUGGUUCCAAGUUCUAUUAUGGUGGUUCCAAGUUCUAUUGUGAUGGUUCCAGGUUCUAUUAUGGUGGUUCCAAGUUAUAUUGUGGUGGUUCCAAGUUCUAUUGUUAUGGUUCCAAGUUUUAUUGUGGUGGUUCCAAGUUCUAUUGUGAUGGUUCCAAGUUCUAUUAUGGUGGUUCCAAGGUCUAUGUUGGUGGUUCAGAGUUCGAUUGUGGUAGUUCCAAGUUCUAUUAUGGUGGUUCCAAGUUCUCUCAUUGUGGUUCCAUGUUAUUUUAUGGUGGUUCCAAGUUCUAUUAUGGUGGUUCCAAGUUCUAUUGUGAUAGUUCCAAGUUCUACUGUGGUGGUUCCAAGUUCUAUUGUGAUGGUUCCAAGUUUUAUUGUGGUGGUUCCAAGUUCUAUUGUGAUGGUUCCAAGUUUUAUUGUGGUGGUUCCAAGUACUAUUGUGAUGGUUCCAAGUUCUAUUGUGGUGGUUCCAAGUUCUAUUAGGGUGGUUCCAAGUUUUAUCGUGGGGGUUACAAGUUCUAUUGAGAUGGUUCUACAUUCUAUUGUGGUUGUUCCAAGUUCGAUUGUGGUGGUUCCAAGUUCUAUUGUGGUGGUUCUAGGUUGUUGG
rnacentral:lncRNA from 1 species